rnacentral:rRNA from 1 species
CGCCUCCUAAAAGGUAACGGAGGCGCCCAAAGGUUCCCUCAGAAUGGUCGGAAAUCAUUCGUAGAGUGUAAAGGCAGAAGGGAGCUUGACUGCGAGACCUACAAGUCGAGCAGGGACGAAAGUCGGGCUUAGUGAUCCGGUGGUUCCGCAUGGAAGGGCCAUCGCUCAACGGAUAAAAGCUACCCUGGGGAUAACAGGCUUAUCUCCCCCAAGAGUCCACAUCGACGGGGAGGUUUGGCACCUCGAUGUCGGCUCAUCGCAUCCUGGGGCUGAAGUAGGUCCCAAGGGUUGGGCUGUUCGCCCAUUAAAGCGGUACGCGAGCUGGGUUCAGAACGUCGUGAGACAGUUCGGUCCCUAUCUGUCGCGGGCGUAGGAAGUUUGAGGAGAGCUGUCCUUAGUACGAGAGGACCGGGAUGGACGCACCGCUGGUGCACCAGUUGUCACGCCAGUGGCACAGCUGGGUAGCUAUGUGCGGACGGGAUAAGCGCUGAAAGCAUCUAAGCGUGAAGCCCCCUCCAAGAUGAGACUUCCCACAGCGCAAGCUGGUAAGACCCCUCAUAGACGAUGAGGUUGAUAGGUUCGGUGUGGAAGCGCGGUAACGCGUGGAGCUGACGAAUACUAAUCGGUCGAGGACUUAUCCAC